rnacentral:rRNA from 1 species
AAUACCUCAUAUCUGUGACGUUACUGACAGAAGAAGCACCGGCUAACUCCGUGCCAGCAGCCGCGGUAAUACGGAGGGUGCGAGCGUUAAUCGGAAUUACUGGGCGUAAAGCGUACGCAGGCGGUUUGUUAAGCGAGAUGUGAAAGCCCCGGGCUCAACCUGGGAACUGCAUUUCGAACUGGCAAACUAGAGUGUGAUAGAGGGUGGUAGAAUUUCAGGUGUAGCGGUGAAAUGCGUAAAGAUCUGAAGGAAUACCGAUGGCGAAGGCAGCCCCCUGGGUCAACACUGACGCUCAUGUACGAAAGCGUGGGGAGCAAACGGGAUUAGAUACCCCGGUAGUCCACGCCGUAAACGAUGUCUACUAGAAGCUCGGAACCUCGGUUCUGUUUUUCAAAGCUAACGCAUUAAGUAGACCGCCUGGGGAGUACAGCCGCAAGGUUAAAACUCAAAUGAAUUGACGG